AACGAACGCUGGCGGCGUGUUUAAGACAUGCAAGUCGCACGGGAUCAUUUUGGUAGUAAUACUCGAAUGGUCCAGUGGCGCACGGGUGAGUAACACGUGAAUGACAUGCCCUUCAGAGGGGGAUAGCCCAGGGAAACUUGGAUUAAUACCCCAUGGUCUCGCAAGAGUAAAGGUGGCCAGCAAUGGCUGUCGCCGGAGGAUUGGUUCGCGUUCUAUCAGCUUGUUUGCGGGGUAACGGCCCACCAAGGCUACCAGGGUUACCUGGUCUGAGAGGACGAUCAGGCAAACUGGAACUGAGACACGGUCCAGACACCUACGGGUGGCAGCAGUCGAGAAUAAUUCACAAUGGGGGCAACCCUGAUGGUGCAACGCCGCGUGGAGGAUGACGGUCUUCGGAUUGUAAACUCCUGUCAUCCGGGAGUAAGACCUGGGAGUGAAUAGCUCACAGGGUUGAUAGUACCGGAAGAGGAAGGGACGGCUAACUUCGUGCCAGCAGCCGCAGUAA
rnacentral:rRNA from 1 species